UGUCCAGACUCCUACGGGAGGCAGCAGUGAGGAAUAUUGGUCAAUGGGCGGAAGCCUGAACCAGCCAAGUCGCGUGAGGGAAGAAGGCCCUGCGGGUCGCAGACCUCUUUGGACGGGGAGCAAGGCCGCCGACGUGUCGGCGGAAGGAGAGUACCCGUAGAACAAGCAUCGGCUAACUCCGUGCCAGCAGCCGCGGUAAUACGUAGGUGGCAAGCGUUAUCCGGAUUUAUUGGGUGUAAAGGGCGUGUAGGCGGGAAAGCAAGUCAGAUGUGAAAACUAUGAGCUCAACCCAUAGCCUGCAUUUGAAACUGUUUUUCUUGAGUGCUGGAGAGGCAAUCGGAAUUCCGUGUGUAGCGGUGAAAUGCGUAGAUAUACGGAGGAACACCAGUGGCGAAGGCGGCUUACUGGACUGUAACUGACGUUGAGGCUCGAAGGCGUGGGGAGCAAACAGGAUUAGAUACCCCAGUA
rnacentral:rRNA from 1 species